rnacentral:rRNA from 1 species
GAUGAACGCUAGCGGCAGGCUUAAUACAUGCAAGUCGAACGGCAGCGGGUCCAGCAAUGGAUGCCGGCGAGUGGCGCACGGGUGCGUAACACGUAUGCAACCUACCUUUAACCGGGACAUAACCUCGAGAAAUCGUGGCUAAUAUUCCAUAAUAUCUUUGAAUCGCAUGGUUUGAAGAUCAAAAUUCCGAUGGUUUUAGAUGGGCAUGCGCGACAUUAGCUAGUUGGUGAGGUAAUGGCUCACCAAGGCUACGAUGUUUAGGGGGUCUGGGAGGAUGAUCCCCCACACUGGUACUGAGACACGGACCAGACUCCUACGGGAGGCAGCAGUAAGGAAUAUUGGGCAAUGGGCGCAAGCCUGACCCAGCCAUGCCGCGUGCAGGAUGACAGCCCUACGGGUUGUAAACUGCUUUUAUACGGGAAAAAACCCUCUGACGUGUCAGAGGCUGAUGGUACCGUAAGAAUAAGCAUCGGCUAACUCCGUGCCAGCAGCCGCGGUAACAC